rnacentral:lncRNA from 1 species
GGCCCAACAUCAAGUUCCUGAAAUUGUUCAACUCACCAGUUCAGCUACCUCCAUCCAGAUUAAACAAUACCCCAAUACCCUGUAAACAAAAAGAAACUUGCAGUCCAUAUUGCCUAGCUCAGAGAAAAAGAAAUCUUGGUGCCCCAUUGGUCACACUGGAAUAUGUCUCUACUGCUAUGAAGAAACUUGGGACCUCUGACUCUCAUGAGUCUGAUUCCUCCAGAGAAACAAGUGCAGUGUCUUGGACCUGAAAGAUGCAGGCUUCAGCCUCCCGUGGGCAGAGGUGUUCAUCUGUGAUGUCACAGCUGAAAGAUGAAGCCUGCUGCGCGGGAGCAGUCUUCUCUGGUGGAUAUCCCACAACAUGAUGAUUGGAAUAUGAAGUCUCCCAGAAGAGACGCAGGAAACCCACCUCUGCAUUUUCCCACCGCCUGUGCAGUUAGAGCUCCCCUCCCCUUGCCCCCUUUCCCAGCAUAGAUGCCUCCAGCCCUUCAGAGAAGGCAAACGGAGAGGACCCAGCCUGGCACUAGAAUAUUGUAAUUGGUGGCACUCCCUUCCCCUUAACGGACUCUGGCCCCCCUGGAGGGGGGGAGAUGCUGGCUUUGGGAAUAGACAAACUGCAACAUAACCCAGCCUCUGUGUCAUCAAGGCUGAUACUUUCCUUGAUAGAUAACUAACAUUCCUCUGGUGCCGAUGGUUCCCGUCCUUGAAGGAAACAAGGACCAAGCAUCCUUGAAAAGAUAAGUGGCCCACUCUGGGACCAUGAGAGAAGGGAGAGUAAGUGUUCCCAGAGAGCCGUGACCAGCUUGUAAAAGUACGCUAACUUCUGAUAGCACCAUAAAGUUACUUCCCAGGUCAGAAGAGUCCCCUCCCAGCUGCACGAUUCUGCUCCUGCUGUCUGAACAAACAAUAUCAGGUUUGAAGGAUGGCUUCCCCUUGUCACCUCCCCUGUCACGUAUCCCCAAAGCCUGAGGAUCCCUGCUUAUGCAUGUGUGUGUAUAAAUACUCUAAGCCCCCUGGAUGGGGGCAUCGCAUUCCUAACCUGCACAGUGGGGAAGGCUUGCCAUCCGGGUCUGACUCGUGAAUAAAAGCUCUCUUUGUUAUA